rnacentral:rRNA from 1 species
CGGGAAACUGGGGAUAAUUCCGGAUAGAUCAUAGAUGCUGGAAUGCACUGUGAUCCAAAGCUUUUGUGCCUAAGGAUGAGUCUGCGGUCUAUCAGGUUGUAGUGGGUGUAACGUACCUACUAGCCUACGACGGAUACGGGUUGUGGGAGCAAGAGCCCGGAGAUGGAUUCUGAGACAUGAAUCCAGGCCCUACGGGGCGCAGCAGGCGCGAAAACUUUACAAUGCGGGAAACCGUGAUAAGGGAACCCCGAGUGCCCGUAGAAUCGGGCUGUUGAUCUGUGUAAAAAGCAGGUAAAGAAAGGGCCGGGCAAGACCGGUGCCAGCCGCCGCGGUAACA